AGAGGAUGUCUAGCGACUGGGCCGCGUUAAACCGCGGAACAUUUCAAUUUCCAACGCGACAAACCGCGAGCGAACUCCAUCGUCACGUGACGAGAGUUAGAUACUACGCCUCCGGUGCAACCACGGGGAGCAGAUGGAUUUCAGACGCGUUUCACGAUGAGCAGAGAUCAGCAGUUUGUCAUUUGCUCUAGCACAGAGAGCUCUCAGACCGAAUAGAUAGGUGUUGAAUUUGGAAUUUUGGGGAUUUUGGAGAUCCAGAGAAUUUGGAGAUCUGGGAAAUGGGAUUAGAAUUGGAAUCGAGGGAAAAUAACUGUUGCCUCGUGCUAAGCCGCCGAUGUGGAACACGAGGACGCGUGUGCUGACCGCACACAUCCGGACGAAUGUCUUAUCGACAUGGGGUCGCGUGCACACGUGUGACGAGAAACUGUUUGCACCAGGUUCGCUUCCAGGGCGCACAGUUCAAGAGAAGGUCUUGAUGAUGUCACGGAGACUCGUAUAGGUUCCAACUAUGAGACCAAGGACCGCGAAAAAUACGAGC